rnacentral:rRNA from 1 species
UACGGAGGGUGCAAGCGUUAUCCGGAUCACUGGGUUUAAAGGGUGCGUAGGUGGGCAGGUAAGUCAGAGGUGAAAUCUCACAGCUUAACUGUGAAACUGCCUUUGAUACUUCCAAUCUUGAGUUAAAGAGAGGUUGAUGGAAUUUCAGGUGUAGCGGUGAAAUGCGUAGAUAUCUGAAAGAACACCAGUGGCGAAGGCGGUCAACUGGCUUUUAACUGACGCUCAGGCACGAAAGCGUGGGUAGCGAACAGG